rnacentral:rRNA from 1 species
UGAGGAAUAUUGGUCAAUGGGCGGAAGCCUGAACCAGCCAUGCCGCGUGCGGGAAGAAGGCGCUACGCGUCGUAAACCGCUUUUGUCCGGGGGUAACCGCGGGGACGAGUCCCCGCCUGCAAGUACCGGACGAAUAAGGGUCGGCUAACUCCGUGCCAGCAGCCGCGGUAAUACGGAGGACCCGAGCGUUAUCCGGAUUCAUUGGGUUUAAAGGGUGCGCAGGCGGCCCGGUCAGUCAGCGGUGAAAUGCCCGCGCUCCACGCGGGAGCUGCCGUUGAUACUGCCGGGCUGGAGUCUUAGCGAGGCGGGCGGAAUGCGCGGUGUAGCGGUGAAAUGCAUAGAUAUCGCGCAGAACGCCGAUUGGGGAGCCAGCUCGCCAGCUGAGUACUGACGCUGAGGCACGAAAGCGUGGGGAUCGAACAGGAUUAGAUACCCUGGUAGUCCACGCCGUAAACGAUGAUGGCUCGCUCUUGGCCGGCAACGGUCAGGGGCUUAGCGAAAGCGUUAAGCCAUCCACCUGGGGAGUACGCCGGCAACGGUG